rnacentral:lncRNA from 1 species
CUCUUCUCACAAAAUACUGUAUAACAAAAUUGUUGCACUAUCAUUUUACUUUUUACUCAUUUUCUAGCAUGCCCCCUGUUGACAAAUAUCAUUCUAACUUGACAACGACAUAUUAGUACCAACUUUACACAAUUCAUGGCAUUAACUGCGCUUUGCUAUCAUUUUACUUGAAUGUUCUCAUUCUUUUAGCUUGCCCCCUUUGACUAUAUCAUUCUAACUUGACAACGACAUAUUAGUAUCAAAAUUAUACAAUUCAUGGCAUUAUCUGCGUUUUGCUAUUAUUUUACUUUUUACUCAUUCUUUUAGCUUGCCCCCUUUGACAAAUAUCAUUUUAACUUGAAAAGGACAAAUUAGUAUCAAAAUUAUAAAAUUCAUGGCAUUUAACUGCGUUUUGCUAUCAUUUUACUUUUUACUCAUUCUUUUAGCUUGCCCCCUUUGACAAAUAUCAUUCUAACUUGACAACGACAUAUUAGUAUCAAAAUUAUACAAUUCAUGGCAUUAUCUGCGUUUUGCUAUUAUUUUACUUUUUUACUCAUUCUUUUAGCUUGCCCCUUUGACAAAUAUCAUUUUAACUUGAAAAGGACAAAUUAGUAUCAAAAUUAUAAAAUUCAUGCAUUUAACUGCGUUUUGCUAUCAUUUUACUUUUUAC